rnacentral:rRNA from 1 species
GAAUUUUGGGCAAUGGGCGAAAGCCUGACCCAGCAACGCCGCGUGAGGGAUGAAGGCCCUCGGGUCGUAAACCUCUGUCGGGAGGGAAGAACGAUCGGCAGUCGAACAGGCUGACGGUCUGACGGUACCUCCAAAGGAAGCCCCGGCUAACUCCGUGCCCGCAGCCGCGGUAAUACGGAGGGUGCAAGCGUUGUUCGGAAUCAUUGGGCGUAAAGCGCGUGUAGGCGGCUUGGUAAGUCGGGUGUGAAAUCCCGGGGCCCAACCCCGGAACUGCAUUCGAAACUGCCUCGCUAGAGUCCCGGAGAGGAAGGCGGAAUUCCCGGUGUAGAGGUGAAAUUCGUAGAUAUCGGGAGGAACACCAGCGGCGAAGGCGGCCUUCUGGACGGUGACUGACGCUGAGACGCGAAAGCGUGGGGAGCAAACAGG